UACACCCUCACUUUUAUGGCCCAGGCUGUCAUCUUCAGGGCACAAUGCCCUUUUUUAGGGACCACAGGUUCACUGUAAGGUGCAGAGCCGCAUUUUUCAGGGUGCAAAGCCUUAGUUGAGACGAAAGCCCCUUCUUUUUUAGGUCCCAAAGCCCCAUGCUAGGAGUCAAACCCUCAAUUUUAGGGCUCAAAGCCUCCUUUUAGGGCCCAAACACCCAUGUCGAGGGAACAAAGUAUCAUUUUGGGGUCCAGACCAUGAGCCAGAGACUCCAAAGGCCCAGGGUCCAGGCCCAAAGCCUCAGCCUCACCUUCAGGACCAGGCCCCACAACCCUCCCAAUGCCUCCCCAUUUUAAAUGUUCAAAGCCUCAUUAGUAGGCCCCCGUCUUUCCUUUGGAGGCUACAAAGCCUUCCUUCUUUUAAGGCUCCACAACCUCCUCUUGGCAUACCAAGUCUUCUUCUGAUCACCUAAACCCUCAGUUUGCAGGCCCACAGCCUCCUUUUAAGGGAACAAGCCCUUUUGUUCAGGGCCCUGAGUCUGCUGUCUGGAGCCAAAGCGGGUUUUUAUUGCUUACACCCUCACUUUUAUGGCCCAGGCUGUCAUCUUCAGGGCACAAUGCCCUUUUUUAGGGACCACGGGUUCACUGUAAGGUGCAGAGCUGCCUUUUCAGGGUGCAAAGCCUUAUUUGAGACGAAAGCCCCUGCUUUUUUAGGUCCCAAAGCCUCACGCCAUGAGACAAGACCUCAAUUUUGGGGCCCAACGCCUCCUUUUAGGGCCCACACACUCCUUAGAGGGACCAAACGAACAAUAGCGACGCUAUCCUCUCAGUGCCAGACGCGUUUUGCCCCGAAUCGGGGGCGGGACGCAGCAUGCCCGGUGUCUCUCGCGAGGCCGGCUGAGGUUCUAUACUAUACGCUCAAACUUGGAGCAGAAGUCAGAGCAGACAUGAUGCAGAGCGAGGCACUGCGAACAUUUCAUCUGUUUAUACUAACAGCUCCUUACACUGGAGCCAAAAGAUGA
rnacentral:lncRNA from 1 species